rnacentral:rRNA from 1 species
UACGUAGGGGGCGAGCGUUGUCCGGAGUUACUGGGCGUAAAGGGCACGCAGGCGGUCGGAAAAGUUUGAGGUAACAGCUCCUGGCUUAACUGGGAGAGCGCCUUGAAAACUAUCGGACUUGAGGGCCAGAGAGGGACACAGAAUUCCGGGUGUAGUGGUGAAAUGCGUAGAUAUCCGGAGGAAUACCAAAGGCGAAGGCAGUGUCCUGGGUGGUACCUGACGCUGAGGUGCGAAAGCUAGGGGAGCGAACGGG